rnacentral:lncRNA from 1 species
GACCUCCAGUUGACCAUAUGUUCUUUCCAGAACUGUGUAUAUGUGAUUGAAUUGGCCAAACGUGUAAGAAUCAUAAAAUAAAGUUUAGGCAUUAAUUAGCUAUUUAGCCUCUUCGACUGUCUAUUUUAGAGGUGGACUUUCUCAAAAAAAAUGGUUAAAUUUCUGCAUAAAGUUUAUGUGAACUAUAAAUACAUCUUUAAGUACUCUCUCUAGAUGUAUUUUAUUGUGUGUCGCUGCAAUGGGAACAGGUUCAUCUGUGAAUUAUCUUUGUCAAGUUAUCAUUGGUAGUUGGGUCCUUCUUCAACACCUCUUGUGUUCAAACCAUGUCAGAGGUCAAAAAGUUGUUCCAUGAUAAGCAGAAACUAUAGCUACUGGAAAAUUUGUUAUUGAGAAAGAAUAUGUUGCUCCUCAACUUCAAACCAAAAGCUAAACUGAGAAAUUCAUCUAAAGUGCCUUAGAAGAGAAAACGGCAACCCUCUCCCUUGUAGACAAGAGUCCAACCCUCAAGAAGCUUAAAGUUUCUCUCUACUUUCAUUCAUUGAGUUAUGGUGGAUGAACAAUUGAUAUUUGCAUAAUAUGAGGGGGAUGCACAAGCCAUAUAAUUAACCUAUUGGAUGAAGCACAAGUAGUUCUUCAAAAAUAUAAGAGAGAAAAAGAGCAUUAAUACUACUCAUAACACAGCCAGCUACAAUACUUGUCAGUUGCCAUUUUAGUUAAUGACUGGCACUAAUAAAACUUGAUGGUGUUAGCCAAAAUGGGUAAACGCCUGAUAGAUUACAUUUUUAUCAUGUAAAACUAUUCAACUUUAUAUAUUUAAC